GGAAGGAUCAUUAAUGUUACUUUCAUCCAACUUGCUGUCAGAAGAGGCUUUCUUCUAAGCUUCUUCUGGCAGUAAAGCAACCGUGAAAAAGGUUAAAGUCCUUAACAGUAUCCAACUCUGUUGUAACCACUGUUAAAGCACCCUUUCUUUCAACCUGUCUAAAACAAGUUGAGUGUGAAUUUGCGUGUGCGUCUUUCUUGACAUACACACACUUUCACACGAGAUAUCAAAAAUUAUUUAAAAAGACACAACUUUUAACAACGGAUAUCUAGGUUCUCGCAACGAUGAAGAGCGCAGCGAAAUGCGAUACGUAGUGUGAAUUGCAGAAUUCAGUGAAUCAUCGAAACCUUGAACGCAUCUUGCGCUUGUGGUCACCCACAAGCAUACCUGUUUGAGUGUCGUUAUUCAUUCUCACAAAAAAGAACUUUACGUUCUUUUUUUUUGUGGAUCUUGAGCAUCUGUUGGAUUUUACCAUCGGCAGUUGCUUUAAACUGAGAGGGGACUCGAGAAAGAAAACAUUAGAAACAGUCUGCUUCAAUGUUCUUGUGGUCCAAAGGAUGUGUUUUAAAGACAUACAUUUUUUUUUGUGUGAAUUUCACAUUUCAUUGGUUUUACCACUUUUAUCCUUUGCAAAAGGGAAAGAGCGGAGAACAGUGUUUUGAAGUCUUCUUCAUGCCCUUUUUUUCUAAAAUUUUUUUACCUUUGCGACCUCAAAUCAGGUAAGACUACCCGCUGAAUUUAAGCAUAUAAAUAAGCGGAGGAGAAGAAACUAACCAGGAUUCCCUUAGUAACUGCGAGUGAAGUGGGAAAAGCUCAAGCUUUAAAUCUGCAGGGGUUCUCCCUUGCCCGAAUUGUAGUUUCGCGAACGGCGUUUACGGACAGUCUGCUCCAGUAUAAGUCCUCUGGAAAGAGGCGCCAUAGAGGGUGAGAGCCCCGUACAUGACUGGAUUUUUGUAAUAAAAGGGCUGUCAAUACGUACCGCUAAUUCGCAGAGUCGGGCUGUUUGGGAGUACAGCUCAAAGUGCGUGGUAAGUUCCAUGUAAAGCUAAAUAAGGGGCGAGAGACCGAUAGCGAACAAGUACCGUGAGGGAAAGAUGCAAAGAACUUUGAAAAGAGAGUUAAAAGUGCUUGAAAUUGUUAAAAGGGAAGCAAUUGGGGUCAGUGAAUGGUUUGCGACAACUCAUUCGGACCAGUGGAGCUGGUACGAGGUAGGCUCGAGCAGUCCUUUGUGGCUGCCGGUCUAUUUCUGCCUGGCUUUAUUGGGCCGAAGCACUUUGGCGUAGACCGAGUCAGCAUCGGCCAGGGUUUAAGGAAUAAAAGGAUCAGAGUCAGGUGACAUGGUGAUGCUCCUUGAGGGUAUCAUUGUGUGUUAUAGACUUUGGUAGAUACUCCUUCCAUCUGGCCGAGGCGUCUUUAUGGACGAGAAUGGGUGCCUUUUUUGGCUGGACAGGGUUGCUCUCUGCUGUUUAUCAGUGAUGGAGACAGCAUGCUGUGUUUGUUGCUGGUGAGUGGCAAAGAGUAGCCGUCGCAUACCCAUUAGUGAUGCUGACCAGACGGCCCUAACUGUCCCGUCUUGAAACACGGACCAAGGAGUCUAACAUAUAUGCGAGUGCUUGGGUUGCAAACCUAGACGCGUAAUGAAAGUAAAGGGAGGUUUCGGCCUCCUUAGGUGGGAAUUGCUUUUCUCGUGAAAGCGACGCACCAUCGACCGAUCUGGAUAUUUUUGGAUAGAUUUGAGUAAGAGCAUAUCUGUUGGGACCCGAAAGAUAGCGAACUAUGCCCGCAUAGGGUGAGGCCAGACGAAAGUCUGGUGGAGGCUCGUAGCGAUACUGACGUGCAAAUCGUUCGUCAAAUGUGGGUAUAGCGGCGAAAGACUAAUCGAGCUGUCUAGUAGCUGGUUCCCUC
rnacentral:misc_RNA from 1 species